rnacentral:snRNA from 1 species
CGGGAGCUUUCCCCGGGCGUC